rnacentral:rRNA from 1 species
AGCAUAUCAAUAAGCGGAGGAAAAGAAACCAACAGGGAUUGCCCUAGUAACGGCGAGUGAAGCGGCAACAGCUCAAAUUUGAAAUCUGGCCCCCGGGUCCGAGUUGUAAUUUGUAGAGGAUGCUUUUGGUGCGGUACCUUCCGAGUUCCCUGGAACGGGACGCCAUAGAGGGUGAGAGCCCCGUCUGGUUGGACGCCAAUCCUUUGUAAAGCUCCUUCAACGAGUCGAGUAGUUUGGGAAUGCUGCUCUAAAUGGGAGGUAUAUGUCUUCUAAAGCUAAAUAUUGGCCAGAGACCGAUAGCGCACAAGUAGAGUGAUCGAAAGAUGAAAAGCACUUUGAAAAGAGAGUUAAAAAGUACGUGAAAUUGUUGAAAGGGAAGCGCUCAUGACCAGACUUGGGCUUGGUUGAUCAUCCAGGGUUCUCCCUGGUGCACUCUUCCGGCCCAGGCCAGCAUCAGUUCGCUGUGGGGGAUAAAGGCUUCGGGAAUGUGGCUCCCUCGGGAGUGUUAUAGCCCGUUGUGUAAUACCCUGUGGUGGACUGAGGUUCGCGCAUUCGCAAGGAUGCUGGCGUAAUGGUCAUCAGCGACCCGUCUUGAAACACGGACCAAGGAGUCGUCUUCGUAUGCGAGUGUUCGGGUGUCAAACCCCUACGCGUAAUGAAAGUGAACGCAGGUGAGAGCUUCGGCGCAUCAUCGACCGAUCCUGAUGUUCUCGGAUGGAUUUGAGUAAGAGCAUACGGGGCCGGACCCGAAAGAAGGUGAACUAUGCCUGUAUAGGGUGAAGCCAGAGGAAACUCUGGUGGAGGCUCGCAGCGGUUCUGACGUGCAAAUCGAUCGUCAAAUAUGGGCAUGGGGGGCGAAAGACUAAUCGAACCUUCUAGUAGCUGGGUUUCCGCCGA